GUCUUAAUCAAAACAAAUAGAAUUCAAAUUUAGCAGAAAAUUUAAUUUUUCGUUUUUCAAUAAGCUUCGAGAAAUGAGAUUAAAAUUUUCUAUUUUUAGAAGACUAUGAAGAAUGGACCUCAUUUAAGAAAUCCUUCGUCUCUUGGGAAUUCCUUUAAAGAACAUUAAGCAGUAUGCUUUUGAUGAAGCUAUAUGCUUGGUUAGUUUUAUUUCCACCCACUAAAUGUUUAAAUUAGUCAUGGAACUAAUUUAAUCUUUUAGUGACUUAUUCUGAAGCUUUGUGUGAUUUUUGGAAAAAUUUGUUUAAGCUAAAUGAAAGAAGAAAAGAAAACAACAUAAUUGUUCAUUCUAAUCCAGUUAACAAAGUGGUUUGAUAUUUUGGAAAGGAAACUGACAGAAUGGUCUUGGUAAAGCUUUAGAAGAACUUGAGAAUACAGAUUUGAAGAAUUGAAUACAAAAAAUAGGGAAUGGACAGCAGGUGAAUGUAUACCAGAAUUUUUUCCGAUCCUCUGAUUUUUAAUUCUAUUCACUCAGACUUAAAUGAUCUUGGCAUUCCAUGGUGUGAUAGUCCAGAAGAUUUUGUGGCAAAGCAUAGAAAUGCUUUAGAAAGUUCUCAUGUAUCUGAGCCGCUUCAUCACUGGAUGGAUUUAACUUUUGGUUGUAUAGCACUACUAUCUUAGAACCACUGAAUAUUGUUAUCUGCAGUGUUAUUUGCCUUAAUUAAAUCCGUGAAAUGAAAAUAAUUUAAAAUUUUCUGGUGGAAGCUUAACAAAAAUACUUUCUGAACGGUAGUAUGAAUGUUAGUUUUAAAAUGUCGACAUCUGAUUGCAUACCAAAAUAAAAUGUUACAGGUGUCUGACACAAAAGAGAGAGGUGAUGAGGAAGGACAAGUCCAGCUUUUUUAAAACAUUUAGUUAUCUUUGGAAGUUAUCUUCAGUGGAUCGAUAAAUGAGUACCAAGCAUGCUUGGGAAAUAAACACUGGGGGUUCUGACCACUCAACCGGAACAUCUGUUCUUGCACCUCAGAGCCCAAGCUACGGAGUUGAGCAUUGGUAAUUGUAAACCCAAAAUUGGAUCCGCUGUUCAACGUGAUUAUAAUGCAAGUGAUUUUGAUAUGGUUUUUUAUCAGUGGCAUGAAAAAAACCAUAAUGUAAGUAAGAAUACACAAAAACUUAAAGAACCUGACUGGUGUGAAAAUGAAUUUGACAAGAUUGUUAUCCCCGAAGAAUGCAUAAAAGAAUUUUAUGAAAAAAACAAAGGGCUAGUGAAAUAUAGCCUGAGCAAUUUCAAGAAGAUUUGUUCCUGACACUGCUGCUCCUACUCCAUCACUUACAGCUAAAGAAUGGCUGAAUGGAAAAAACAGAAAUCCUAUUCUGAUAUCCAUUUAUGUAGGUAUGAUAUUAACUAUGAGUGCCUGUCUUUGUUGUAUUCUGCCUAUUUACUCAGCUUUUUCUUCAGACUUCCCCUUUUCAACAGACUAGACUGAUUGGUUGUGAAAGCAAAGAAAUUUCAGAAAAAUAUUCUUUUCAGAAGAGUGAAAAUGAAAACAAGGACAUAAAAUGUUUGAAAGGACUGCAUGAGAAUAAUAGUGAGGUUCAAGACGCAAGAAAUCCUGGGUUUGCAUCCAGCAUAAUAGAAAUAAUUCUAGCAAAGGAAUGCCUAUUGAGAAAUCAACUGUUAUUAUUCAGCAAGGUUGGAAACAAUAUUUAAUGAAAGUGAAGUUUUUGAAGAUGCAGGCAAUUAUUUAAAGGACAUUUAAAACCAUAGAUAAACGAAUUGAAGCCGAAAAGCAGUGGUGUAUAAAACUUCAGUCAUUUUUUGAACAAUGGUGUCCUGAAAGCGCCAAGGUCAAACAAAAGAUGUUAUGCCCUAGUAGUUAUGAUUCUUUGAAGGAAGCUCUAGUUAGUGUAUACAAAUAUGUCCAAGCUUGCGACUUUGAAGAGGCCAGUCAAGAAGCAAUUGAGGAUCAUUUCAGAAAAGGUAAAUAGGACACUUGCUUGUGUAUCAGCGAUCUUUAUGGUACCGGAGGAGCAACUUAUGAAGUGUCUUCUCAGCACUUUAAAAUGAUCCCUCUUCCAUUGCUUCUGUUUAUUUUUUUCAAAAAAUGAUGCCAGACUGGGAUGCUCAGUGUAAACAUCUUAAAAUUACAGAAAUAUCUGGGUAGAGCAUCUUUAUAUUUGCUUUUUAUGCUGAUUAAUAUUUAAAUGUGAAACAUGUAGAGAAGUUUUUUUUUAUAUACCUAUAUAUCAUUUUCUUAAUUGUAAUUGGCAGUCAUAAGGAAAUCGCAUGAUUCUGCAACUGUUUUGAAAAGGAAAAAUUAUAUAAAUGUUUGUAUCGCUCAACAUGUGAUUUUUUUUUUUUAAUUCCAUGAUUGAAAGGGAUUAGUCAAUCUGUUAUUUAACUUGGUACCAUUGAUGUGCAAACACUUCCAGUGUCUCUUAAGUAAUUUAUGUCAUAUCGUUUACUUGUGUUUUUCAUAUGACUGUAUUUGUAUGUAAGCACCAAAAAACAAAAUAAAAUAAUUUUAUUUUUUUCAAUGAAA